GGGGACGUGGCCAAGCCAGGCAUGAGGACCGAGGCGAUCAGUAGAUCGGGGGUUCAAAUCCCUCCGUCCCCA
rnacentral:tRNA from 1 species